UCUACGGAGAGUUUGAUUCUGGCUCAGAACGAACGCUGGCGGCGUGGAUAAGACAUGCAAGUCGAACGGGAUUUCAUUUGUAGUAAUACCGAUGAAAUCUAGUGGCGAACGGGUGCGUAACACGUGAGCAAUCUGCCGGGAAGUGGGGGAUAACUCGCCGAAAGGCGAAUUAAUACCGCAUAUGGCCAGGGAAGACAUCUUCCCGAAGCCAAAGUCGCAAGACGCUUCCUGAUGAGCUCGCGGCCUAUCAGCUAGUUGGUGAGGUAAUGGCUCACCAAGGCUAUGACGGGUAGCUGGUCUGAGAGGACGACCAGCCACACUGGAACUGAGACACGGUCCAGACACCUACGGGUGGCAGCAGUCGAGAAUUUUUCACAAUGGGGGAAACCCUGAUGGAGCGACGCCGCGUGGAGGAUGAAGGUUUUCGGAUUGUAAACUCCUGUCAAAUGGGAACAAGAAAGUGAUAGUACCAUUAGAGGAAGAGACGGCUAACUCUGUGCCAGCAGCCGCGGUAAUACAGAGGUCUCAAGCGUUGUUCGGAUUCAUUGGGCGUAAAGGGUGCGCAGGCUGUGGGGUAAGUCGGAUGUGAAAUUUAGAGGCUCAACCUCUAAACUGCAUUCGAUACUGCUUCGCUAGAGGACUGUAGAGGAGAUUGGAAUUCACGGUGUAGCAGUGAAAUGCGUAGAUAUCGUGAGGAAGACCAGUGGCGAAGGCGAAUCUCUGGGCAGUUCCUGACGCUCAUGCACGAAGGCCAGGGGAGCAAACGGGAUUAGAUACCCCGGUAGUCCUGGCAGUAAACGGUGCACGUUUGGUGUGGGAGGA
rnacentral:rRNA from 1 species